rnacentral:rRNA from 1 species
AGUGAACGCUGGCGGUAGGCCUAACACAUGCAAGUCGAACGGCAGCACAGUAAGAGCUUGCUCUUACGGGUGGCGAGUGGCGGACGGGUGACGAAUACAUCGGAAUCUACUUUUUCGUGGGGGAUAACGUAGGGAAACUUACGCUAAUACCGCAUACGACCUACGGGUGAAAGCAGGGGAUCUUCGGACCUUGCGCGAUUGAAUGAGCCGAUGUCGGAUUAGCUAGUUGGCGGGGUAAAGGCCCACCAAGGCGACGAUCCGUAGCUGGUCUGAGAGGAUGAUCGGCCACACGGGAACUGAGACACGGUCCAGACUCCUACGGGAGGCAGCAGUGGGGAAUAGUGGACAAUGGGCGCAAGCCUGAUCCAGCCAUACCGCGUGGGUGAAGAAGGCGUUCGGGUUGUAAAGCCCUUUUGUUGGGAAAGAAAAGCAGCAGGUUAAUACCCCGCUGUUCUGACGGUACCCAAAGAAUAAGCACCGGCUAACUUCGUG